rnacentral:pre_miRNA from 1 species
CGUCAAGCGGCGCCAGGCAGAGCCUUGCGUGUGUUCUUAUUGGUAGUGUGGCUGGUAAUCUAUCAUAAGACACACGCGGCUCUCUCUGGACCGGCUCUACU